GCUUGCUUCGGCAGGACAUUCACUAAAAUUGGAACAAUAUAGAGAAGAUUGGCGUGGCCCCUUCACAAGAUGACACACAAAUUAGGGAAGAGUAACAUUUUUCU
ensembl:snRNA U6 U6 spliceosomal RNA